GCAAGUCGAGCGCACCUUCGGGUGAGCGGCGGACGGGUUAGUAACGCGUGGGAAUAUGCCCUUCUCUACGGAAUAGCCAUUGGAAACGAUGAGUAAUACCGUAUACGCCCUUCGGGGGAAAGAUUUAUCGGAGAAGGAUUGGCCCGCGUUAGAUUAGAUAGUUGGUGGGGUAACGGCCUACCAAGUCACCGAUCUAUAGCUGGUUUGAGAGGAUGAUC
rnacentral:rRNA from 1 species